GACGAACGCUGGCGGCAUGCCUAAUACAUGCAAGUCGAGCGAACAGAUGAAGUGCUUGCACUUCUGACGUUAGCGGCGAACGGGUGAGUAACACGUAAGGAAUCUACCUAUAAGCGGGGGAUAACAUUCGGAAACGGGUGCUAAUACCGCAUAGUAUCUUCUUCCGCAUGGAAGAAGAUUGAAAGACGGCUCUGCUGUCACUUAUAGAUGACCUUGCGGUGCAUUAGUUAGUUGGUGGGGUAAUGGCCUACCAAGACGAUGAUGCAUAGCCGACCUGAGAGGGUGAUAGGCCACAUUGGGACUGAGCCACGGCCCAAACUCCUACGGGAGGCAGCAGUAGGGAAUCUUCCGCAAUGGGCGAAAGCCUGACGGAGCAAUGCCGCGUGAGUGAAGAAGGCCUUCGGGUCGUAAAACUCUGUUAUAAGAGAAGAACAAAUUGUAGAGUAACUGCUACAGUCUUGACGGUAUCUUAUCAGAAAGCCACGGCUAACUACGUGCCAGCCGCCGCCGUAA
rnacentral:rRNA from 1 species